rnacentral:snRNA from 2 species
AUCGCUUCUCGGCCUUUUGGCUAAGAUCAAGUGUAGUAUCUGUUCUUAUCGACCGAAGACGAGUGUAAGCCUCGGGUUUGAAGGUUAGAUAGGAAUAGACGAGGGUCUUCCCGUAUAAGCCUCC